UUGGGUUAAGUCCCGCAACGAGCGCAACCCUUGUCUUUAGUUACCAUCAUUCAGUUGGGGACGUCUAGAGAGACUGCCGGUGAUAAACCGGAGGAAGGUGGGGGAUGACGUCAAAUCAUCAUGCCCCUUAUGGCCUGGGCUACAAACGUAAUACAAUGGCGUAUACAAAGGGAUGCGAAAGGGCGACCUGGAGCAAAACUCACAAAGUACGUCUCAGUUCAGAUUGGAGUCUGCAACUCGACUCCAUGAAGGCGGAAUCGCUAGUAAUCGCGGAUCAGCAUGCCGCGGUGAAUACGUUCUCGGGGUUU
rnacentral:rRNA from 1 species